GGGCCCGCGGCGCAUUAGCUGGUUGGUGGGGUAACGGCCUACCAAGGCGACGAUGCGUAGCCGACCUGAGAGGGUGACCGGCCACACUGGGACUGAGACACGGCCCAGACUCCUACGGGAGGCAGCAGUGGGGAAUAUUGCGCAAUGGGCGAAAGCCUGACGCAGCAACGCCGCGUGGAGGAUGAAGGCUUUCGGGUUGUAAACUCCUUUCAGCAGGGACGAAACUGACGGUACCUGCAGAAGAAGCCCCGGCUAACUACGUGCCAGCAGCCGCGGUGAGACGUAGGGGGCAAGCGUUGUCCGGAUUUAUUGGGCGUAAAGAGCUCGUAGGCGGCUUGGCAAGUCGGAUGUGAAAUCUCCAGGCUUAACCUGGAGUCGCCAUCCGAUACUGCUAUGGCUAGAGUCCGGUAGAGGAUCGUGGAAUUCCUGGUGUAGCGGUGAAAUGCGCAGAUAUCAGGAGGAACACCAACGGCGAAGGCAGCGAUCUGGGCCGGUACUGACGCUGAGGAGCGAAAGCGUGGGGAGCGAACAGGAUUAGAUACCCUGGUAGUCCACGCCCUAAACGUUGGGCACUAUGUGUGGGGCCUAUUU
rnacentral:rRNA from 1 species